rnacentral:rRNA from 1 species
CAGCACCUCAAGUGGUCAGGAUGAUUAUUGGGCCUAAAACAUCCGUAGCCGGCUCUGUAAGUUUUCGGUUAAAUCUGUAUGCUCAACAUACAGGCUGCCGGGAAUACUGCAGAGCUAGGGAGUGGGAGAGGUAGACGGUACUCGGUAGGAAGGGGUAAAAUCCUUUGAUCUAUUGAUGACCACCUGUGGCGAAGGCGGUCUACCAGAACACGUCCGACGGUGAGGGAUGAAAGCUGGGGGAGCAAACCGGAUUAGAUACCCGAGUAGUCC